rnacentral:tRNA from 1 species
CUCACAGUGGCGCAGUGGUAAGCGCCCUUGCCUCACAGCAAGAAGGCCCCCGGUUGAAGUCCUGGCUGAGGGA